CAGCAGCAGCCGCGGGAAUACGAGGGGGGCAAGCGUUGUUCGGAUUUAUUGGGCGUAAAGGGUGCGUAGGCGGUUUGGCAAGUCUUGUGUGAAAUCUUCGGGCUCAACCCGAAGCCUGCACGAGAAACUACCGGGCUUGAGUAUUGGAGAGGUGAGUGGAAUUUCCGGUGUAGCGGUGAAAUGCGUAGAUAUCGGAAGGAACACCUGUGGCGAAAGCGGCUCACUGGACAAUAACUGACGCUGAUGCACGAAAGCUAGGGGAGCAAACAGGAUUAGAUACCCGCGUAGUCCCUGUCUCUUAUAC
rnacentral:rRNA from 1 species